rnacentral:rRNA from 1 species
AUACGGAGGAUCCGAGCGUUAUCCGGAUUUAUUGGGUUUAAAGGGUGCGCAGGCGGCCAUUUAAGUCAGCGGUUAAAUCGUGGGGCUCAACCCCAUUCUGCCGUUGAUACUGGGUGGCUUGAUUGCGGUCGAGGUUGGCGGAAUUCGUUGUGUAGCGGUGAAAUGCAUAGAUAUGACGAAGAACACCGAUUGCGUAGGCAGCUGACCAGAUCGCAAAUGACGCUCAUGCACGAAAGUGCGGGGAUCGAACAGGAUUAGGUACCCUGGUAGUCCGCACAGUAAACGAUGAAUACUUGUUUUCGGCGAUAUAAUGUCGGAGGCAAAGCGAAAGCGAUAAGUAUUCCACCUGGGGAGUACGCCGGCAACGGUGAAACUCAAAUGAAUUGACGGGG